UACGGAGGGUGCAAGCGUUAUCCGGAUUUACUGGGUUUAAAGGGUGUGUAGGCGGACUUUUAAGUCAGCGGUGAAAUCUCCGGGCUCAACCCGGAAACUGCCAUUGAUACUAUUGGUCUUGAAUGUUGUUGAGGUGGGCGGAACGGGUCAUGUAGCGGUGAAAUGCACAGAUAUGACCCGGAACACCGAUUGCGUAGGCAGCCCACUAAGCAACGAUUGACGCUGAGGCACGAAAGCGUGGGGAUCAAACAGG
rnacentral:rRNA from 1 species